rnacentral:rRNA from 1 species
UACGUAGGCAGCGAGCGUUGUUCGGAGUUACUGGGCGUAAAGCGUGCGCAGGCGGUGAUGUAAGACAGGUGUGAAAUCCCCGGGCUUAACCUGGGAACUGCAUUUGUGACUGCAUCGCUGGAGUGCGGCAGAGGGGGAUGGAAUUCCGCGUGUAGCAGUGAAAUGCGUAGAGAUGUGGAGGAACACCGAUGGCGAAGGCAGCCCCCUGGGCUGAGAUUGACGCUCAGGCACGAAAGCGUGGGGAGCAAACAGG